rnacentral:rRNA from 1 species
CCUACGGGCGGCAGCAGUGGGGAAUAUUGCACAAUGGGCGCAAGCCUGAUGCAGCCAUGCCGCGUGUGUGAAGAAGGCCUUCGGGUUGUAAAGCACUUUCAGCGGGGAGGAAGGCGGUGAGGUUAAUAACCUUAGCGAUUGACGUUACCCGCAGAAGAAGCACCGGCUAACUCCGUGCCAGCAGCCGCGGUAAUACGGAGGGUGCAAGCGUUAAUCGGAAUUACUGGGCGUAAAGCGCACGCAGGCGGUCUGUCAAGUCGGAUGUGAAAUCCCCGGGCUCAACCUGGGAACUGCAUUCGAAACUGGCAGGCUAGAGUCUUGUAGAGGGGGGUAGAAUUCCAGGUGUAGCGGUGAAAUGCGUAGAGAUCUGGAGGAAUACCGGUGGCGAAGGCGGCCCCCUGGACAAAGACUGACGCUCAGGUGCGAAAGCGUGGGGAGCAAACAGGAUUAGAUACCCUAGUAGUC